rnacentral:rRNA from 1 species
UGGAAGUAAAAGUCGUAACAAGGUCUCCGUUGGUGAACCAGCGGAGGGAUCAUUACCGAGUUUACAACUCCCAAACCCAAUGUGAACGUUACCAAACUGUUGCCUCGGCGGGAUCUCUGCCCCGGGUGCGUCGCAGCCCCGGACCAAGGCGCCCGCCGGAGGACCAACCUAAAACUCUUAUUGUAUACCCCCUCGCGGGUUUUUUUUUAUAAUCUGAGCCUUCUCGGCGCCUCUCGUAGGCGUUUCGAAAAUGAAUCAAAACUUUCAACAACGGAUCUCUUGGUUCUGGCAUCGAUGAAGAACGCAGCGAAAUGCGAUAAGUAAUGUGAAUUGCAGAAUUCAGUGAAUCAUCGAAUCUUUGAACGCACAUUGCGCCCGCCAGUAUUCUGGCGGGCAUGCCUGUCCGAGCGUCAUUUCAACCCUCGAACCCCUCCGGGGGGUCGGCGUUGGGGAUCGGCCCUCCCUUAGCGGGUGGCCGUCUCCGAAAUACAGUGGCGGUCUCGCCGCAGCCUCUCCUGCGCAGUAGUUUGCACACUCGCAUCGGGAGCGCGGCGCGUCCACAGCCGUUAAACACCCAACUUCUGAAAUGUUGACCUCGGAUCAGGUAGGAAUACCCGCUGAACUUAAGCAUAUCAAUAAGCGGAGGA